rnacentral:rRNA from 1 species
UACAGAGGGUGCAAGCGUUAAUCGGAAUUACUGGGCGUAAAGCGCACGUAGGUGGAUUAGAAAGUUGGGUGUGAAAGCCCUGGGCUCAACCUGGGAACUGCAUUCAAUACUACUAGUCUAGAGUACAGGAGAGGGAAGUGGAAUUUCCGGUGUAGUGGUGAAAUACGUAGAUAUCGGAAGGAACACCAAUGGCGAAGGCAACUUCCUGGACUGAUACUGACACUGAGGCACGAAAGCGUGGGGAGCAAACAGG